GACGUAGGGCGCGAGCGUUGUCCGGAUUUAUUGGGCGUAAAGAGCUCGUAGGCGGUUCGUCACGUCGGGAGUGAAAACUCGGGGCUUAACCCCGAGCCUGCUUCCGAUACGGGCAGACUAGAGGUAGGCAGGGGAGAGCGGAACUCCUGGUGUAGCGGUGGAAUGCGCAGAUAUCAGGAAGAACACCGGUGGCGAAGGCGGCUCUCUGGGCCUUACCUGACGCUGAGGAGCGAAAGCGUGGGUAGCGAACAGG
rnacentral:rRNA from 1 species